rnacentral:rRNA from 1 species
CCUCGGGGCGCAGCAGUGGGGAAUAUUGCACAAUGGGGGAAACCCUGAUGCAGCGACGCCGCGUGAGUGAAGAAGUAUUUCGGUAUGUAAAGCUCUAUCAGCAGAGAAGAAGCAAGACGGUACCUGACUAAGAAGCCCCGGCUAACUCCGUGCCAGCAGCCGCGGUAAUACGGAGGACGCGAGCGUUAUCCGGAUUUAUUGGGUUUAAAGGGUGCGCAGGCGGAAUGUCAAGUCAGCGGUAAAAUUUCGGGGCUCAACCCCGUCGUGCCGUUGAAACUGGCGUUCUCGAGUGAGCGAGAAGUAUG